CUAGAACUAGACACGUUGAUAUCUUACUUUCACAAUUGACUUUUUGUGUAUUUGCAGGUUUAAUAAGAAUAAAACUAUGAAAAAUCAAAUACACAAAUGAUCCAUGGUUACAACAAUCAAAUGAAGAAUGCCUAAUACAGCUCUUCAUACUUAAAAAUACAAAUCUGGGAUUCCCGUAACACCAUGUAAAUGUAUUCUCGACUACUAAGGAAUACUAAAACCGCAGCCAUGGUCAAAUUUCACUGUCUGAAUACAAAUAGAUGGAUUUUUGGUUAUUAAGGAAUGCAGACAUGGAGUUUGGUGUGCUGGUUAUCACAAAAGCUUUUCUGCUGAAGAUGCAUCUGCAGAUGUCUUCUUUAUAGUUUCAUAGAAAUAAUAUGCUGGCAUAUUGGAUCGGCACUGAAUUUGAUGUAGAAUAUAAGGCAGGAUAGCAGGAUUAAAACAGAAAUAAUUGAUUGUUUUUAGGAAAAAGACACGACAGCAAAUAUUGUUAAAAAUUUGGAUCUAAUGUAUAAAUGUAUUAAUGUACUGACUUGUUAAUAUUAAAUGUUGUUUGUAGUGUU
rnacentral:lncRNA from 1 species